rnacentral:lncRNA from 1 species
AUCAUAAUGAAGCUUGUUGAGGAAAUAGAUAUUUGGACAUUACAACUACAUUUGUGUAUCCCUAAAAUACUUGGGAAAAUCAAAAUCUUCAAGACGUACUAAAUCUAUCUUUUCACCCUUGAGAUCAUAAUCCACAUAUUAUCCCAUAUACAAUACACAUUUGUUGAUCACAGUUAUAAUUUAGAUAGUGAGCACCCAACAAAACUAAUUCAAUAGGUAGCUCCAAACUGAAAACUAAAAGCAAAACAUAAUGCGUACAUCUUUUAGGAAACAAUUGGGUAGAAACAAUUUAGUUUUGUUAAGUUUGAUGUAAAUCUUUUUGGAAGGACUCCAUAUCAUGGCUCCUGAGAUCUGAGAAAUUUCGACUUUGUGAACCCAAGCUUUGGUUUUGAGGCAUUAUGUAUCUCAUUAAUCUGUAUUUAUUUUUGUAUCUGACGUGAUGUUUCUGUCAAUACCAAGGCGUCCUGUGGUGACUUGGGGUCAAUCUAAAGCUUAGCUAAUCCAUCCUAAAGUAGAAUUUUACUUGGAAAUAAAAGAAUGGAUAAUCACAUAAGAGGUACAUGGUCAUGCAGAUAUUUGUUGCACCAACAUGACGAUAGCCUAAAAACAGAAGGACCUCCAUAAUCUAAUUACACUAAAUCACAAUCAUAUAACUGACACAUACUGAGCCAAAAAAUAAUAUUAUACAUACUUGAUUUGCAAAUUGCAAAUAUCAAUACAAAUCAUAUUAUAAAUACACAAUAUGCAAAGAACAGUAAGGAGCUGCGGAUGGCGCAUAGUAUUUUUUCGAUUUACUAUUUAUUAGAUUUUAAUAUAAAAGACAGAAUAUCAUGUUACUUUCUACAUGGCCUUUUUUGCAAAAAAAAAAUGGUUUUUUAUAUAUAAUUCACAGUAAAUGUUUUAGGACCUUAGGGAGACACUGCAAAAUGAAAAUUCAGCGUGUCAGGAUCAAGCCAAAGGAUAAGAAAAUGCAAAAACAUAAGUCUUUUGCGUAUCCAAAAAGCAUGGUAGCUUCAAGUGCUACCAGAAAUAGGUUGAUCCUGUUAAAAAACAGUGGGAUAUAAUCGGUUUCCAGUAAGUGGCACAAAGUUCCUGAUUGCCUUGCCCACUAAUUUGUGUUAAGGAAGCAAGCCUUGGCGCAGUGGUAAAGCUGCUGCCUUGUGACCAUGAGGUCAUGGGUUCAAGCCCUGGAAACAACCUCUUACAGAAAUGUAGGGAAAGGCUGCGUACUAUAGACCCAAAGUGGUCGGACCCUUCCCUGGAUCCUGUGCAAGCGGGAGCUACAUGCACCAGAUUGUCCUUUAAGCAAGCACAAACCCGUACAAAUGCAUUAUUGUUACAUGUGUUCUAUCGGUAUCGCAAAAAAUUAAACCAUGUACGACAACCCUCUUUAAAAGUUCUCAUAUUAAUCCUGGUUGUGGCCAUUUGUGGGAACAUGAUUUAGAAUAUUUAAUAUCCUAGAAGUUUACAACAAAUGAAGCUCAUAUUUUUUUUAACAACUAAGAUUGCAGUUAUAUCUAAUCAUGCUUGAGGCUCAUAUUUGAUUUCCUACCCUGCAAUUUACCUCAGAUAGGAAAAGGGGAUACUAUUCAUCAUUGCGAAACUGCCAUGCAAAAUUAUAUGAGAUGACUACAAAAUAUCUUUCUAUGAUCAGACCCUGCGCAAGCGGGAGCUACAUGCACCGGGGUGCCUUUUUUUACUCUGGAUUAUACGGAUAUAAAACUGGAAGGGAAACCACACGAAAAGAGAAUUUGGCUUUAAACGUUUGCAUAUAGUACUCUUCUUUGGCAUGAAAGCUACUCCAAAGAGUAGUACGUAACCGUUAAAUGAGUAAUCCUUAGAUGAAAAUGUAGUCAGAGCAGCCAUUUUAAACACUUGCAACAUGACCAAUGUGUAGUCUAAUUUCGUGAGCGGUCUAAUUAUCUCUAGGACAGGCCACAACAAAUUCAAACUAAUUCACAACUGAGAAUUAGCAGAUAACAAUAUUUGCUGCUACAAUAUAUUGGACUGGACUCAAACAAUAAGUGUUUUUUCUUCUUUAAAUACAGUUGGUAUUUUCAUGCAACAUGGAUGAAAUGAUGAAUAGAUUAAAUCAGCGUUGAGAUCAUAAUGAAGCUUGUUGAGGAAAUAGAUAUUUGGACAUUACAACUACAUUUGUGUAUCCCUAAAAUACUUGGGAAAAUCAAAAUCUUCAAGACGUACUAAAUCUAUCUUUUCACCCUCGAGAUCAUAAUCCACAUAUUAUCCCAUAUACAAUACACAUUUGUUGAUCACAGUUAUAAUUUAGAUAGUGAGCACCCAACAAAACUAAUUCAACGGGUAGCUCAAACUGAACACUAAAAGCAAAACGGAAUGCGUACAUCUUUUAGGAAACAAUUGGGUAGAAACAAUUUAGUUUUGUUAAGUUUGAUGUAAAUCUUUUUGGAAGGACUCCAUAUCAUGGCUCCUGAGAUCUGAGAAAUUUCGACUUUGUGAACCCAAGCUUUGGUUUUGAGGCAUUAUGUAUCUCAUUAAUCUGUAUUUAUUUUUGUAUCUGACGUGAUGUUUCUGUCAAUACCAAGGCGUCCUGUGGUGACUUGGGGUCAAUCUAAAGCUUAGCUAAUCCAUCCUAAAGUAGAAUUUUACUUGGAAAUAAAAGAAUGGAUAAUCACAUAAGAGGUACAUGGUCAUGCAGAUAUUUGUUGCACCAACAUGAUGAUAGCCUAAAAACAGAAGGACCUCCAUAAUCGAAUUACACUAAAUCACAAUCAUAUAACUGACACAUACCGAGCCAAAAAAUAAUAUUAUACAUACUCGAUUUGCAAAUUGCAAAUAUCAAUACAAAUCAUAUUAUAAAUACACAAUAUGCAAAGAACAGUAAGG